rnacentral:rRNA from 1 species
GGGUUGUGAGGUUAAGCGACUAAGCGUACACGGUGGAUGCCCUGGCAGUCAGAGGCGAUGAAGGACGUGCUAAUCUGCGAUAAGCGUCGGUAAGGUGAUAUGAACCGUUAUAACCGGCGAUUUCCGAAUGGGGAAACCCAGUGUGUUUCGACACACUAUCAUUAACUGAAUCCAUAGGUUAAUGAGGCGAACCGGGGGAACUGAAACAUCUAAGUACCCCGAGGAAAAGAAAUCAACCGAGAUUCCCCCAGUAGCGGCGAGCGAACGGGGAGCAGCCCAGAGCCUGAAUCAGUGUGUGUGUUAGUGGAAGCGUCUGGAAAGGCGCGCGAUACAGGGUGACAGCCCCGUACACAAAAAUGCACAUACUGUGAGCUCGAUGAGUAGGGCGGGACACGUGGUAUCCUGUCUGAAUAUGGGGGGACCAUCCUCCAAGGCUAAAUACUCCUGACUGACCGAUAGUGAACCAGUACCGUGAGGGAAAGGCGAAAAGAACCCCGGCGAGGGGAGUGAAAAAGAACCUGAAACCGUGUACGUACAAGCAGUGGGAGCACGCUUCGGCGUGUGACUGCGUACCUUUUGUAUAAUGGGUCAGCGACUUAUAUUCUGUAGCAAGGUUAACCGAAUAGGGGAGCCGAAGGGAAACCGAGUCUUAACUGGGCGUUAAGUUGCAGGGUAUAGACCCGAAACCCGGUGAUCUAGCCAUGGGCAGGUUGAAGGUUGGGUAACACUAACUGGAGGACCGAACCGACUAAUGUUGAAAAAUUAGCGGAUGACUUGUGGCUGGGGGUGAAAGGCCAAUCAAACCGGGAGAUAGCUGGUUCUCCCCGAAAGCUAUUUAGGUAGCGCCUCGUGAAUUCAUCUCCGGGGGUAGAGCACUGUUUCGGCAAGGGGGUCAUCCCGACUUACCAACCCGAUGCAAACUGCGAAUACCGGAGAAUGUUAUCACGGGAGACACACGGCGGGUGCUAACGUCCGUCGUGAAGAGGGAAACAACCCAGACCGCCAGCUAAGGUCCCAAAGUCAUGGUUAAGUGGGAAACGAUGUGGGAAGGCCCAGACAGCCAGGAUGUUGGCUUAGAAGCAGCCAUCAUUUAAAGAAAGCGUAAUAGCUCACUGGUCGAGUCGGCCUGCGCGGAAGAUGUAACGGGGCUAAACCAUGCACCGAAGCUGCGGCAGCGACACUAUGUGUUGUUGGGUAGGGGAGCGUUCUGUAAGCCUGUGAAGGUGUGCUGUGA